UACGUAGGGGGCGAGCGUUGUCCGGAUUUAUUGGGCGUAAAGAGCUCGUAGGCGGCUUGGCAAGUCGGGUGUGAAACCUCCAGGCUCAACCUGGAGACGCCACUCGAUACUGCUAUGGCUAGAGUCCGGUAGGGGACCACGGAAUUCCUGGUGUAGCGGUGAAAUGCGCAGAUAUCAGGAGGAACACCAAUGGCGAAGGCAGCUCGCUGGGACGUGACUGACGCUGAGACGCGAAAGCGUGGGGAGCAAACAGG
rnacentral:rRNA from 1 species